rnacentral:lncRNA from 1 species
UAGAAACGAAGCUUUGUUGUUGAUCAAAAUCAAUGGGUUUGUGAAGUAAAGGAUUGCAGUCAACAUACUGCAUGUCAUCAUAUUCCAGCACAAAAAUUUUCUCUAUUUUUGGCAAAUUCGGAUCGGACCAUCGGAUGACACAGUGAAGCAUAUUAUUCCAUACCGCCGGUUUGCAUUAUGUCAUUCAGGCUGGGUAAACUGCCUUGACUGGGACUGCGCGAAGGUUGUUUGUUUAGAGCACCAACUAGAUCCAUUCUUUCAUGUGUUAUUGGAACAAGAGUUAACGAAAUUUGCUUAAUAGGAUGGGAAAAACCAGUGAAAUAAUUCAGUGCGGCGUACUCCACUGUAGAAAACUUCAAGCAACGACUUCCAAUGCUCGAUAUAACUAAAAUAAUUAUCAGUCUUUGACAAAUAUUAUGUCGUAGGAGAGGGAAUGUGGAUAUAUGGAUAUAUCGCCGUCGAAACCAAUAUCAAAUUUCCACACAUACUGAAGGUGGUGUACGGCUUCUGAACGAAGUCACGCAUUUUGGUUGCUUUUCUCUUCUGGAAAUGGGAAGGAUUAUAGCCAACUGAUGCGUAAGGAUGAGUCAUGAGCUUCUGUUUUUCAUGAUUUUCAAGAAACU